AUUCUAUUAGUGUAAGCUAACACAGGAAAUUUUCGUUUUCCAGAUUCUUUGAAUAGAAUA
rnacentral:tRNA from 1 species